AGUGAACGCUGGCGGUAGGCCUAACACAUGCAAGUCGAACGGCAGCACAGUAAGAGCUUGCUCUUACGGGUGGCGAGUGGCGGACGGGUGAGGAAUACAUCGGAAUCUACUUUUUCGUGGGGGAUAACGUAGGGAAACUUACGCUAAUACCGCAUACGACCUACGGGUGAAAGCAGGGGAUCUUCGGACCUUGCGCGAUUGAAUGAGCCGAUGUCGGAUUAGCUAGUUGGCGGGGUAAAGGCCCACCAAGGCGAUGAUCCGUAGCUGGUCUGAGAGGAUGAUUAGCCACACUGGAACUGAGACACGGUCCAGACUCCUACGGGAGGCAGCAGUGGGGAAUAUUGGACAAUGGGCGCAAGCCUGAUCCAGCCAUACCGCGUGGGUGAAGAAGGCCUUCGGGUUGUAAAGCCCUUUUGUUGGGAAAGAAAAGCAGCAGGUUAAUACCCCGCUGUUCUGACGGUACCCAAAGAAUAAGCACCGGCUAACUUCGUG
rnacentral:rRNA from 1 species